rnacentral:misc_RNA from 1 species
UCUCCGUUGGUGAACCAGCGGAGGGAUCAUUACCGAGUUUACAACUCCCAAACCCCUAUGUGAACGUUACCAAACUGUUGCCUCGGCGGGAAAUUCAUGCCCCGGGCGCGUCGCAGCCCCGGACCAAGGCGCCCGCCGGAGGACCAACCAAAACUCUUUUGUAUGUCCCUCGCGGACUUUUAUAAUUCUGAAACAUCUCGGCGCCCCUAGCGGGCGUUUCGAAAAUGAAUCAAAACUUUCAACAACGGAUCUCUUGGUUCUG